UUAAUUUUUUCUUUCGGUUUUGGCUCUAUUUGUGCGGCGGUUUCGUAAUAAAUUUUGUUUCUGUGUUCCUUUUUUUUCGGCCACACGCGCAAAUGUUUGGGGCACAGUUAAGGCCGGCCUUCACUUAGGCUUUUUCUAUUAAUUUUUCUCGUUUUGCUGGCCUUUGAGCGGCCCUUUAAUGGUGGCUAACUCGACGCGCUUGGCAACAGAGGGCCAUGAAGGGCUUUGUUAAAAUAUACGGACUUAGAUAUUAAAUUGUAGAAACUAAAACAACAAAAGUAACCAACAGCCACAACCAAAAGCAAAUCCAAAGCCAAAAAGUAAAAGUUGCUCGAUUCUACAGAUGGCCAGAGCUAAAACUAGGGCCGGAAAUGCUAACACAAAUUUUCACAAGCGAUGGAUGAAUGGAUGUACGACCAAAUGGACUCACAUAAAUGCCUAAAGUGUUGUGCCUGAGCUGGAAAAAAGUCCAUUAAAAGUGCGCUGCCUUGAAAACGCCACGAAACAAUCAGUGGCAUAGGCUAUUGGGGUUUCCGCGGGCACUUUGACACUUCUUCGCUGGACGCAUCAAUUACAUGGCCAGAAGUCGCAGACAAAUUAACGGAUGCAUUAUUUAUAAUGCG
rnacentral:misc_RNA from 1 species